UAAAACUUUUAACAACGGAUCUCUUGGCUCUCGCAUCGAUGAAGAACGCAGCGAAAUGCGAUAAGUAAUGUGAAUUGCAGAAUUCAGUGAAUCAUCGAAUCUUUGAACGCACCUUGCGCUCCUUGGUAUUCCGAGGAGCAUGCCUGUUUGAGUGUCAUG
rnacentral:rRNA from 1 species